rnacentral:rRNA from 1 species
AUGAUCGAUUUUUUUCAGCAAAGGAGGAAUGCCGCCAGAGAACUCGGGCAUAGCACAUUUCAAAAGGUGACCGCCGCUUUGCGUAUGUUGGCAUACGGAAUUCCGACGGAUCUAGUUGAUAAUCACUUGGCCAUGGACGAGAGACAAGCCAUCAUGUGUGUCAAGCGCUUCGCGGUUGAAAUCGUGCAAGUGUUUGGUCUGAAAUAUUUGAGAGCUUCCAAUGCUGAAGGCGCCGCAAGGCUUUUGGAGAUGAAUAAAGCUCACGGGUUUCUAGGUAUGCUUGCUCAAUAG